rnacentral:rRNA from 1 species
GCUCAACCGGGGAGGGUCAUUGGAAACUGGGGAACUUGAGUGCAGAAGAGGAGAGUGGAAUUCCACGUGUAGCGGUGAAAUGCGUAGAGAUGUGGAGGAACACCAGUGGCGAAGGCGACUCUCUGGUCUGUAACUGACGCUGAGGCGCGAAAGCGUGGGGAGCGAACAGGAUUAGAUACCCUGGUAGUCCACGCCGUAAACGAUGAGUGCUAAGUGUUAGAGGGUUUCCGCCCUUUAGUGCUGCAGCAAACGCAUUAAGCACUCCGCCUGGGGAGUACGGUCGCAAGACUGAAACUCAAAGGAAUUGACGGGGGCCCGCACAAGCGGUGGAGCAUGUGGUUUAAUUCGAAGCAACGCGAAGAGCCUUACCAGGUCUUGACAUCCUCUGACAACCCUAGAGAUAGGGCUUCCCCUUCGGGGGCAGAGUGACAGGUGGUGCAUGGUUGUCGUCAGCUCGUGUCGUGAGAUGUUGGGUUAAGUCCCGCAACGAGCGCAACCCUUGAUCUUAGUUGCCAGCAUUCAGUUGGGCACUCUAACGUGACUGCCGGUGACAAACCGGAGGAAGGUGGGGAUGACGUCAAAUCAUCAUGCCCCUUAUGACCUGCGCUACACACGUGCUACAAUGGGCAGAACAAAG